rnacentral:lncRNA from 1 species
GCCACAUACAAAUGACCCGACAGAGUGUAAUAACAUUACACACUAUUUUCAAUUGACUUUUCAUUUUCCACAUCAGUCCCAAGACCAUUCUUUUGUGAAUUAUUCUUGUUCUUGCUCCUCUUUGUUCAUCAAUCAUUCCUAGCCAAGAAUCUUCUUUGCAAAAAGGUAAGAUCUUAUUAUUUCUUUUCUUGAAGCAAAUUGU